rnacentral:rRNA from 1 species
AUGGUCGCUCAAAGCAAGGGAAUGAGCUGGAGACGCGAGUAUGAUCUGAAGAUAACUGAGGUAUGGUCCAAAAAGAGCUUUCAUGGCAAAGGGCUUCGGCGGGAGAGGCCGGCGCUCGCUCUUCUGCACCCCUUCAACAAUGAAGUGAUCUACCUCACUCAGGAAGCCAAGCUGAUCUCUGUCAACGUCAGUUCGGCAGAAGUAAAAGAAUGUGUCCCUUGUGUGCUUGAAGAUAAGGCUACCGAUUGCAGGUCUGGAAAAUUUAUCGUCUACGACAUGCCUCUGAAGUGCAUUGGCCUGUUCCCAAGACCCUAUGUUCUUUAG